GCGGGGCUGGACAGCUCCCCUCGUAACCCCAGAACCGGGAUCCAUUUCCUGGGCUCGGCAGCCUGGCGCCCAGGACUCGCUCCGGUCUCCGAGCAUCUGCUCCCGGGACUCGAGUCGCCUCUUCCCUUUGAUGGGGAGGUGGACAGAGGUGGAGAAAGAAAACAUGGUGGAGAAGGAGAUUUCUGGAUGAUAAGAUGGGAAGAGGAAGCAAGGAGAGGCAGAAAACAAAACCAGCCGUUUCCACUGGGCUUGGGGCUUGGGAAGAGAGGGAAGUGCUUCUGGUCCAGCUGAACAUUGACCUGAGAUUCCUGGUCCCAACCUAGACUGACUUCACCUGGCGUCCUCAUCUCCAGAAUGAUCGCACAUUUGGUAUAAGAAACAUGACCACUUCUCAGAGGGAAAAAUGGUUAUUGGCGAAAACUUUGGCUCUCAGGCUGGACCAUGACAUCACAUGACAGAGGCUGUUUUUCUGAAGGAAAAAAAAAACAAACCCAGGCCAGAUUUACAAGAACAACGAUCAGAAAGAGGGCCUUGGCCAAGUGACCACAGCACACGCCCAGCAGUGCUGAGAACACUGCCGGUCCCUCAGCACUUGAGGAUGACUCAUGGUUGC